UUAAUUGAAGAGUUUGAUCAUGGCUCAGAUUGAACGCUGGCGGCAGGCUUAACACAUGCAAGUCGAGCGGUAGCACAAGAGAGCUUGCUCUCUGGGUGACGAGCGGCGGACGGGUGAGUAAUGUCUGGGAAACUGCCUGAUGGAGGGGGAUAACUACUGGAAACGGUAGCUAAUACCGCAUAACGUCGCAAGACCAAAGAGGGG
rnacentral:rRNA from 1 species